rnacentral:lncRNA from 1 species
GGGGCCUGCGUGGGGCUCGGGGCGCACGUGUCGCGGGAAAUGGAGUGGACACCGGGGGCUUCAGGGGAAGACAUCCAAACGACCGGGAGUCACGCGUGGACUCUUUCGCGCGAGGGCUUCUGGAAUCCAUUUUGUCUGUAGAGUGGAUAGAAGCCCCUGAAUCGUAUUUCUGGAGGCAGCCCUCCCCAGCCACUGCCAGGAAAUUACCAAGCAUGUCCUGAAGAUGAAGAUACUCUCAGCCUAAUGUCUCCAAGCAAAUAUUGAUUCAGCAGUAUCACCCAGGCAAAGCCACACCAUAUAUCAGUGAACAGAGAAACAACUGCCCUUCUCCGGGCCCUUCUCUGAGAAGCUGGAGCAUCAGCUCUGGAGCUCUCUGGAGCGGUUUCCUAGCUCACUGCCCCCAGCUGAACACAGGACCACUUACCCAUGGGUG